GCCCGAAGAAAAACUGUCCGAGUCAUUUACCGCCAGUUACCAAUACAUUGAGUAGCCCCUCGGAAAUGGAACUAAAUAAAUUUUCCAAGCAACACUGCGCUCUAGGAAAAUAAACAUAGUCGGCGAUGGAUUAUAAUAUAAACAAAUCAAAAUAGCUAUUUAUUUCUGGAUGCCUAAAAUGUAGAUAAAAAUAUUGCGAUUUUUCAAAAGCAUCGUCGUUAACCAUCUUUCGCAGGAACCAAGAGUCCACGAAAAAAUUCUCCAUGCAAAACAUGUAGGAAACCAACACGAUCCAGGUUCUGUUAGGGAAAAUUAAUGACGAUUCGAUCGUAUCUUCUGUGCAGCAAGGUGAUCAACUACCCUGAAUGUUUGGAACCGUGUGAAUGGUAACGGAAGCUACAUAAGAGGACCAGAUAUUUGCGCGAUUUGGGCCGAGGGCACCGGCAGGAGUAUGUCUAUGUUGCGCCACUGUCCCAUACGAAAUCAAUUAUACUAAUUGAAGAGGAUCUCAAACCAGUUUGCCGAUUGCAGCAAGCGAAACAGGUAGCACUUGACACGAACACUAAUCAGGCUAAAAGGCUUUGUCUAAAAGACAUGAAACAAUCUUUAUUCAUAUUUUGGUUCGAUUUAGUGCAGACUACAAAAUGGAUACCAUCGGCUACAUUACAUUGAGGCUACUGGUUUGUGAAAUACACUCGGUUACUCGCCGAAUAAGUACAUCUCGUGUAAAAGCUUCAAAUUUCAGGUGUCAUCGAGUGAUGUUUCGGCACAGUGGAUUUUCUUCUGAAGACUAGUUCUAUAUCCGGAACUUUUUCAAGUACAAGAAAGUGAAUAAAAUAAGGCACGAUUA